rnacentral:rRNA from 1 species
UUGGAGGGCAAGUCUGGUGCCAGCAGCCGCGGUAAUUCCAGCUCCAAUAGCGUAUAUUAAAGUUGCUGCAGUUAAAAAGCUCGUAGUUGAAUUUCGGGACCACUAUGUCGGUCGUGCUUCGGUACGUACUGUCAUUAUUGGUUUCUCCCUUCUGAAGAACCUUGAUGUCAUUAAUUUGGUGUCUUGGGGAAUCAGGACUGUUACUUUGAAAAAAUUAGAGUGUUUAAAGCAGGCUCGCGCUUGAAUACAUUAGCAUGGAAUAAUGAAAUAGGACGUUUGAUUCUAUUUUGUUGGUUUCUAGGAUCGACGUAAUGAUUAAUAGGGAUAGUUGGGGGCAUUAGUAUUCAAUUGUCAGAGGUGAAAUUCUUGGAUUUAUUGAAGACUAACUACUGCGAAAGCAUUUGCCAAGGAUGUUUUCAUUAAUCAAGAACGAAAGUUAGGGGAUCGAAGACGAUCAGAUACCGUCGUAGUCUUAACCAUAAACUAUGCCGACUAGGGAUCGGAUGAUGUUAAUUUUUUAAUGACUCAUUCGGCACCUUACGGGAAAC